AGAGGAGCAAGGUGGCUUCUGUAGGUUGCGGCUGAGAUUUACAGCACAAGAAGAGGCUGGGCACCUUUGGGGCUUAGAAUAGCAGGGUGAGAUGGAGUUUUGUGGAGCACUAAGGCCACCAGCAGGUCGCACCCACGUCUCCGCUCCAUUCAAUCACAUCUUCCUACGAUGCACACAUCAUAAGUCUGGGAAGUGAUCCUGGUUCAAGAGUUUCUUGGUCAGGGUCAUUGGGAUCCCAUGGAUGCCAGCAAUGCAUGCAAUCAAUAAACAUAUUUGACCAUGUCUUCUCGAACCAGUCAGCCUCCCAAGAUGAAGUCAAUAAACUGGAGCACUCCAAUCUAUCUGCCACUUAGCCCCUG